ACUUUCAACAACGGAUCUCUUGGUUCUCGCAUCGAUGAAGAACGUAGCGAAGUGCGAUAUGUAGUGUGAAUUGCAGAAUUCCGUGAAUCAUCGAACUUUUGAACGCAAAUUGCACUCUCUUCGGAGAGUAUGCCUGUUUGAGGGUCAGCC
rnacentral:rRNA from 1 species